CCCAUGUCUCUUUGUGACAGUUAUGAGACUGACCAACAUAAUAUAAUAUAUAGUUAAAUACAAUGUACUCAUUGGUUGCAAACAUCACACAUACUUUUUACAAACAUUAAUUCCUGCUCAUGAAAUGGUCUGGUAUGCCUAUUGCAACACAGGAAUGAGAGGUCUGACUUGUGAUGAAUUGCUCAAAACUGGAUAAACAGAGGAGUUCACCAAAAACCUGUCUUAGAGAAAUAUGAAAAAAUAACCUAGGUUGGUAUGAAUAUUCCAGGAGCUGUUCCACCUAAGAUGG